CCUACGGGUGGCAGCAGUGGGGGAUAUUGCACAAUGGGGGGAACCCUGAUGCAGCGACGCCGCGUGGGUGAAGAAGCGCCUCGGCGCGUAAAGCCCUGUCAGCAGGGAAGAAAAUGACGGUACCUGAAGAAGAAGCCCCGGCUAACCACGUGCCGGCAGCCGCGGUAAUAGGUAGGGGGCAAGCGUUAUCCGGCUUUACUGGGUGGAAAGGGGGCGGAGACGGCGAUGCAAGCCAGGAGUGAAAGCCAGGGGCGCAACCCCGGGACUGCUCUUGAAACUGCGUGGCUGGAGUGCAGGAGGGGCAGGCGGAAUUCCUGGUGUAGCGGUGAAAUGCGUAGAUAUCAGGAGGAACACCGGUGGCGAAGGCGGCCUGCUGGACUGCAACUGACGUUGAGGCCCGAAAGCGUGGGGAGCAAACAGGAUUAGAUACCCCGGUAGUC
rnacentral:rRNA from 1 species